rnacentral:lncRNA from 1 species
GAUGCCUACUAGGGUAGGGGGUGGAGGUACCUGGCCUUUUGGGGAGUAUGACCUGGCACAGAGCAGCUCAGCCUCCAAGACCCAGGCAGGGGGCCAUAAGUGUGUGGAUAAUACUUUCUAGAAAAGUUCUGGUACGCUCAUUUAGAACUGGGCAGUGGUGAGGCAGGCCAGCUGUUUCCCAUUAACUGCCUUCGCCUUCUCUCUCUUCUUCUCCCCAGUCGGCCCCCACAAGGAAUUUGCUGUGACCAUGAGACCUACAGAAGCCAGUGAGAGGUGCCACCUGCGGGGGUCCUAUACCCUCCGGGCUGGGGAGAGUGCCCUGGAGCUGUGGGGUGGGCCCGAGCCAGGGACCCAGCUGUACGACUGGCCCUACAGGUUUCUGCGGCGCUUUGGGCGGGACAAGGUAACCUUUUCCUUUGAGGCAGGCCGUCGCUGCGUCUCUGGAGAGGGCAACUUUGAGUUCGAAACCCGGCAAGGCAAUGAGAUCUUCUUGGCCCUGGA